GCAGUAUGCACCGGGUAAGCAGAGCAGAGAACAGGCUAGCAUCCAGCGCCCAGGCAGCUCUCUGGAGACCACAAAGGCCCUGUGGGUUAGUUACCUUGUUGCUGUGGAAACCCGCCCCUUCUGGAGAAGCCGGGGCCAGCCUUCCUUGGUGAGGGUCACUCUAAGAAAUGGAGUACAAACAGGCUCCAGGAAUACCCUUUCACGGAGCCUCAGGAGGCUCUACCUCCUGGCAUGUGGCCCAGGAAGGCCCAAGAAGUGGCCACGGAAGAGCCCUUCCUUGUUGUCACCUGAGGCCACUCAAGAAUCUAGUGCCUAGCUCCAAGGUCAUCACAGCAGGGAACUGCUGGCCACAGAAACGACCCUGCUCCUGUCACAGGCAUCCCACUGCAGGUCAUCCUGCUGGGAGACCGGGGAGCAAACUUAAGGCCCACCUCUGUCUCUCUGCCCUUCCCUAAAGUGGCUGAGGCAGUCCUCGCUCCUGGCCAGGCCUCCCUGCUGCGCCAUGUACAUUGCGCCCAGCUCCUCAGCCAAGGCCCUCACUCCAUCUGUUCUGUAACCAAGCAAAGGAGGCGCAGGAGGAGAGGAGGGCCCACGGUUCCCCGGGCACCCAUGGCUACCCUGCCCAGCUGGGGCUGGAGAGGACAGCUCCUGACGCUUUAGGGACAGGACCUGACUCCAGUCUCUUCUUCUGUAUUGAUGAAGACAGUCUACAAGAUGCUUGCCCGGGACGCCAUUUUGUUCAUCUUUUAAGGCUUACUAACUGUCUUGGUCAGGGUUUCAAUUCCUGCAUCAUGACCAAGAAGCAAGUUGGAGAGGAAAGGGUUUAUUCAGCUUACACUUUCCACACUGCUGUUUAUCACCAAAUAAAGUCAGGACUGGAACUCAAGCAGGUCAGGAAGCAGGAGCUGAUGCAGAGGCCAUGGAGGGAUGUUCUUUACUGGCUUGCUUCUCCUGGCUUGCUCACCUUGCUCUCUUAUAGAACCCAGGACCACCAGGCCAGGGAUGGUACCACCCACAAGGGGCUCUCCCCCCUUGAUCACUAAUUGAGAAAAUGCCUUACAGCUGGAUCUAAUGGAGGCAUUUCCUCAAGGGAGGCUCCUUUCUCUGUGAUAACCCAGCUUGUGUCAAGUUGACACACAAAAGCAGUCAGUAUACUAACCAACUUAUAAAUGCAUACAAAACCAGUCACAUCAUGUGCUGUGUCUGAGACCUGGAUUUAAAAACAAAAACAAAAAAACCAAAACAACAAACAAAAAACAAAAAACACAAAUAAGCUCCCAACACUGACUGUUCCAGAACACUCUUUUCAAACUCUAAAACUAACAUAGAAACUACCUGCCUUGCAUCGCUGACUUCCCCCUGUCCUGCCCACACCAGACCAAAGACCUACAUGCCCAAGAGCGGAGCCAGCUAGUAGUACGCCCGUUAACAGCAGACUGUUCUAGAUCAGCACUAUCCAAGGCAGCAGCCGUUGCCACCACCACUGCCAGCCACCCGUGGAUAAAGGGGCACUUGAAACUCAGCGGUACAACUCAGAGCUGAGGUUUGCCAUCGCGUGUCAUUUAAGCAGAGCGAUGCUUGCCUAGCACAGCGGGCGACACCUUGGCUUCUGCUCCUAGCACUGCAAAUACUCCUAAAGAUUUUAAAUAAACCCUCACGGCCACACAGUGGCUGGAGGCCUCUGCUGACCGGAA
rnacentral:lncRNA from 1 species